GUGCUCGCUUUGGCAGCACACAUAGUAAAAUUGAAACAAUACAGAGAUUAGGAUGGCCCCAGCUCAAGGAUGACAUGCAAAUUUGUGAAGUGUUAAAAAAUUCU
ensembl:snRNA U6 U6 spliceosomal RNA